AGUGAACGCUGGCGGUAGGCCUAACACAUGCAAGUCGAACGGCAGCACAGUAAGAGCUUGCUCUUACGGGUGGCGAGUGGCGGACGGGUGAGGAAUACAUCGGAAUCUACUUUUUCGUGGGGGAUAACGUAGGGAAACUUACGCUAAUACCGCAUACGACUUACGGGUGAAAGCAGGGGAUCUUCGGACCUUGCGCGAUUGAAUGAGCCGAUGUCGGAUUAGCUAGUUGGCGGGGUAAAGGCCCACCAAGGCGACGAUCCGUAGCUGGUCUGAGAGGAUGAUCAGCCACACUGGAACUGAGACACGGUCCAGACUCCUACGGGAGGCAGCAGUGGGGAAUGUUGGACAAUGGGCGCAAGCCUGAUCCAGCCAUACCGCGUGGGUGAAGAAGGCCUUCGGGUUGUAAAGCCCUUUUGUUGGGAAAGAAAAGCAGCAGGUUAAUACCCCGCUGUUCUGACGGUACCCAAAGAAUAAGCACCGGCUAACUUCGUG
rnacentral:rRNA from 1 species